rnacentral:lncRNA from 1 species
CGCCGUUUUCCCUCCGCUUAAGUUAACCCCCGUCCAUCUAGCCAUCUAGCCGGAUAUACUCUCAACCUGGCACGGACGGGGCGCGGGUGUCUUGCUCCGCACGCGCCGUUGCGCCAAUCAGGUGCGUGCGCGGCACACUCGGGAACAGGUUCUGCUGGAGACUCUAGGAUCACUCCCCGAAGAAUGCCAUGUCUCUUUUCUGCCGGUCCAACCCGCCUUUGGAAUCAAAGCGGAACUCGAGGCGCCUGCAGCUUGCCUGUAAGUGAGGGCCUUGUCUGUCGCGCGACAAACGUCCCCCCCCCCCGGUUUGCAGGUUUUGGUUCAUCCGCCACCUUCAAACAAGUUCUUCAGGAUUGCUGGACAUCGCCACGCCAAUGGACUGCUUAAAAGACAGCUAAAAGUGUCGGAUUUCAAUAUCCUACGACAUUACAGUGCCCCCUCCUGCGCUCGCGAGGAAAGACUAGACCUUCUCCCAACCCCCGGCAAAGCAGCACCGGAACAAGGCAGCCGUUUUCUCCAGACGGAAAGCGCGUUCCAGGUUUCACGCGAUUUCCUGACUAAGGCUUCCGUGGUUGAUGGAGAUGAGACUCCCGUCUUCGGCCACCAAUCCGUCCGGAAGCUCGACCAUAGUGUGACUUACCCGCGCCGGCGUUUCCGCGCGGAUUCGCGAAAUCUUGCCCAUCCGUGAAAAGAAUACGUCCUCUCUUUUUGGUCGUACCGAUGAUAUGACACGAACACGUAUAUCACCCGACAAAGCCCCGUCACUAUAGAGUGGGACGACUCGUGGCGGUUUUGGAAAAUGCGUGGGCUUCCGCUAAACGCUUGGAGCAGUUCCUUCUGAAACUUCGUGUGUGGCGGUUCCUACCAACACUCCUCGCACCGCUCGG